rnacentral:rRNA from 2 species
GCGAGCGCAGGCGAGUUUCUUAAGUCUGAUGUGAAAGCGCCCGGCUCAACCGGGGAGGGUCAUGUGGAAACUGGGGAACUUGAGUGCAGAAGAGGAGAGUGGAAUUCCACGUGUAGCGGUGAAAUGCGUAGAGAUGUGGAGGAACACCAGUGGCGAAGGCGACUCUCUGGUCUGUAACUGACGCUGAGGCUCCAAAGCGUGGGGAGCGAACAGGAUUAGAUACCCUGGUAGUCCACGCCGUAAACGAUGAGUGCUAAGUGUUAGAGGGUUUCCGCCCUUUAGUGCUGCACCAAACGCAUUAAGCACUCCGCCAGGGGAGUACGGUCGCAAGACUGAAACUCAAAGGAAUUGACGGGGGCCCGCACAAGCGGUGGAGCAUGUGGUUUAAUUCCAAGCAACGCGAAGAACCUUACCAGGUCUUGACAUCCUCUGACUACCCUAGAGAUAGGGCUUCCCCUUCGGGGGCAGAGUGACAGGUGGUGCAUGGUUGUCGUCAGCUCGUGUCGUGAGAUGUUGGGUUAAGUCCCGCAACGAGCGCAACCCUUGAUCUUAGUUGCCAGCAUUCAGUUGGGCACUCUAAGGUGACUGCCGGUGACAAACCGGAGGAAGGUGGGGAUGACGUCUAAUCAUCAUGCCCCUUAUGACCUGGGCUACACACGUGCUACAAUGGGCAGAACACAGGGCAUCGAAGCCGCGAGGCUAAGCCAAUCCCACAAAUCUGUUCUCAGUUCGGAUCGUACUCUGCAACUCGUCUGCGUGAAGCUGGAAUCGCUGGAAAUCGCGGAUCAUCAUGCCGCGCUGAAUACCCUCCUUGGCCUUGCACUCACCGCCUGUCCACCGCGAUAUUUUGUACACCCAAAUCCGUCAGGUACCUUUUGGAGCCACCACUCAGGUGGACUAU